rnacentral:rRNA from 1 species
UUCAAUACCAUUAUUAAAUAUGGUGUGCACUUUUCUCUUAGUAAGACGCUGUGAUUCAUUAGAAAUUGAUACAAUUUAAUUGUAUAUUGGGUCAUCAAUAGGCUAAUGUGAAGUUUAUUCGGAAUAAAUGAGUCGAUCUUUAACGGUUGAUUGUAUUAUCUGGUAAGCAUAUUGGUACCUGUAAUGACUGUCUGAUGAGUUUUAUGGAUGUCAUUAUUAAUGUUACGGCAUUAACCUCGUCAAGAGGUAAUAUGAUGAUUGUCCGAUCAACGGCGGUUAAAUUUGAGAUACCUUUUGGACCCGUCUUGAAACACGGACCAAGGAGUCUAUCUAGUAUGCGAGUAAAUGGAUAUAGUAAAAUCUAUUUGCAUAAUAAACUUGACUGUUUUAUGGGAUUACGAUUAAUCGAUUUAUCGAUUUUUCUUCCAUCCCGGGGUAUUUUUAUCAACAUAUGCUUGCAUAUGGAAAAUAUACCAUGGGCACACUGGAUACGACCCGAAAGAUGGUGAACUAUGCCUGAUCAGGUCGAAGUCAGGGGAAACCCUGAUGGAGGACCGAAGCAGUUCUGACGUGCAAAUCG